rnacentral:rRNA from 1 species
AUUGAACGCUGGCGGCAGGCCUAACACAUGCAAGUCGAACGGUAACAGGAAACAGCUUGCUGUUUCGCUGACGAGUGGCGGACGGGUGAGUAAUGUCUGGGAAACUGCCUGAUGGAGGGGGAUAACUACUGGAAACGGUAGCUAAUACCGCAUAACGUCGCAAGACCAAAGAGGGGGACCUUCGGGCCUCUUGCCAUCAGAUGUGCCCAGAUGGGAUUAGGUAGUAGGUGGGGUAACGGCUCACCUAGGCGACGAUCCCUAGCUGGUCUGAGAGGAUGACCAGCCACACUGGAACUGAGACACGGUCCAGACUCCUACGGGAGGCAGCAGUGGGGAAUAUUGCACGAUGGGCGCAAGCCUGAUGCAGCCAUGCCGCGUGUAUGAAGAAGGCCUUCGGGUUGGAAAGUACUUUCAGCGGGGAGGAAGGGAGUAAAGUUAAUACCUUUGCUCAUUGACGUUACCCGCAGAAGAAGCACCGGCUAACUCCGUG